GCGUCCUCCUAACUCAGCCUUUUGACAGGCUUCUGCCACCAUGCCUGGCUUUGUAUGUUUAUUUUAUUCCAUGGCCCAAGCAACCUUGGGAAACAACUGGAUCACAAAUUAGUUUCCUUAUUUUAAAUAUUAGGAAACCGAAUCUUCUAGUGCCCAAAAUCAAGCAGCUAUUAAGUAACAGGAACUAAAGCCCAGUUAUUUUUUCGCAACUUUCUUUUCAUGUAUUGCCUUUUCAUGUAUUGCACCUACGUAAGAAGUAUGCUCCAGCUAUACAAAAAGGAUAUUUAGAGAGGAAACUACAGUCUCAGUGGUCAAGUAAUUUCAGUUGAGCAAGCAAAUACUUUUAUUUGAAAUUUGUUUCCCCCAGUAGCACAGUAGAAUUCUUGGCACAUGGCAGCAAUGAAUGUUUUUUGGUUACCUAUCAAAAUGCAAACAUGGGUGUUGUGCAGAGUGCCAGAUAAAGGCAAGUAAAAAGUGUGAGAGAAAAAAUAAUGAAAAUAGCUUAACCAAUUACUACUCAGGUCUGGGAUUUGAGUUUAUUUUACUGAUAGGUAAUAAAUUAGUCUCUUGCUGUUUCAUGGGUGCUGUAAAAGACACAAGAUUCCUGGUUCAGAGGCAAAGGACUACUAGUCACAGCACAGGAAGCAACUCAUGCAUUAGCACAUUUGUGUCAGUUCCUCUUGCCUGCCAGGUACCAUGUGAAUGAAAUAAAGGUCUCAGGUGAAUGUUAUUUAGUGGAUUUACAUCACAGCUAGAGAACACUGAGCAUGGGGAAGCUGCCAUUUUAUGGGAAGCAGUAAGAAAACCUGUUCUGUAUCCUGGACGGAGACAUUAUUUCAUCUCUCAGGGUUGCUUACUACAAACACAACCCACACCCCUGAGAAAAGACAUUGGUAAAAAGCAGUCAAGAUGGGGUGCAUUCUUGGCACACCCUGGAAGAUGAGACGCAUGAGGGGCCAUCUCUCUCAACAUGACUAUUGGCCAAACUCUAUUCUAAGCACUUUACCUCUGUUAUCUCAUUAAAUCCUUACAACCCUAUAAUGUCCCCUAUUUUAUAGAUGAAUAAGGAUGCAUAGUGAAGUCACAGCUAAUAAACAAGGAAUCCAGGAGAAGCAUGGGUCUGAUGACUUGUAAAAUCCACAAGCAACCCCCUAAAAAAAGUUAUUGACUGUGUUAGCCUUCUCCAGAAUUGCUGGAGGGCAGGGGAGAUGGACCUAGUAAAAAAAAAUUAGGAGAGCUCACAAGAUGUGAGAUGAGGAUUCAAAGUCAUUAUAAUUAGAACAUUAAAAUGAGUGUGACCUUAUUUUACAACCAACCUAAUGAAGAAGGAUCUUGAUUAGUUACACAAAUAUGAAAAUAAUAAAGUUGGAAUAAGAGUUUUGCUCCAAAAUUAUAAUGAAAUUUGGUUUGGACCUGAAUCAUUGGGUUUAACUGGGAUGUGAAGGGACUUAGCCUACUAAAUCAGGUGUCAGGCAAAGGAAAAGGAAGGGAACCGUCAUUAAAAGAGCUAGCUUUUUCAUUUAGUUACUUAAUAAAAAUAUACCAAAUGCCUGUUUUGUUCUAGGAUUUGUAACUGGCUGGUGAUGCAGAGGUGAAUAAAUAGCUACAAACUCCCACGGGCAAUAGCACAGAGCCAAACUUGGCAGUUCCCCUUCUAGGAGCUCCUUCUACUGUUACACUUGCACACAUGUAAAAGGACAUUUUUGUGAAGUUACAUUCAGUGAAGUCAUUUUUUAUUUUUUUAAAAAAGAUUGGAAACAACCUAGUAGUCAUAGGUUAAAUUAUGAUCCAUCCACAGUGGAAAACGGAAUCACUGUAAACAGAGCAUGAGGAAACUCUUCGUGCGCUGAUGCAGAAUAAUCUCGUGGAGACCGAACAUGGUUAAGUGAAACAAGGUACAGCACAGGCUAUGGAACAGAAUAGCAUCAGAGUAUGAAAGAGGAACCUUAUAUGUGUUUAUAUUGUUAGAAGUAUACACACCAAAUUGGUAACGCUGGUGGCCACUGAGAAGGGAGACUGGUCUGCUGGGCUGGGGAGAGUUUGGAGGUAGAUUUUUCACUUUAUUCUGUUUGUUACUGUUUUCUAACCACUAAAUUUUCAGCUAGAUGAAUGUUUUACCUAUUGAAAAAAAUAUGUACAUAAAAUACCCAAGAAGGAUCAAACUGGAAGAAAAAGUAGUAGGAUCACCAAAAUUACAAAAUAAAAUGAAACACCAUUACUGUGCUCAAGAACUCAGUCUAGCAGGAGAGACAGCAAAAGACAAAAUAAUUACGACACAGUGUAAUGAUGGUGGUGACAGAGGCCUGCAAGCACCCAGGGUGAGGAGUUAGGGAAGCUGUUUUGUGAAAUGGGAGAGCUGAGCUGAGUUAUCCACAAGAGGAGUCGUCGAGGCAGAGGCAGGGCAUUUCUGACAAGGAGAAUGGCAUGUGCAGAGAUUUGAAAGGGCCCAGUGUGGUCUGAGGCCAUCCAGUCAGCAGGAUGGGCACGGAGAGAACAGGGCAGAAAGUGGGUGGGGCAGGUGGGCAAGAGUCACCUGGAGUGUAGUGUCCAGGAGUUUGGAUUUCAUUUCUAAGAAUUUAGGAGCCUCUGAAAGCUUUUAGACAGAACAGCUGUAUUAUGGGGUCUGUGCUUCAGCAAGUUCAUUCUGCAGGAUGUGUGGAGAAUGAAUUGAGAUAGGAAGAUCAGCUAAGAAGCAAUAGCGGUGAUUCAGGUCACUGGGACUUCGGCCUGCACCGCUGCGCCCAUCCAGGUCUCGGCACACAGUGGAGCCGCCCGCCCUCGGAAACAGCACCCAGACGGGCGAGCAGAGCGCUUCCCAUCCAGAGCUGGUUUGUUGUCAGUGGAAGUAUUGUUGAGAAACUAGGCUCAAAUAACAAGCAGGCCGCAAUCACGCUGCUAGUUAAUAGCAAAACUGGUCUUUGAACCCAGAUGUUCUGACCCCAAGGCCAGGACACUUUCUUCACUAUCACGCUUCCUUGUGGUUAAAUAAGAAAGAAUCCCUCCUGCUCUGCUCGGUCUGCAGGGUCAGUAGCUUUCCAUGGCCUUCCUGAGUAGGAAUUCCUGCUUAGGUGAGAACCAAGCGUCUUCACUUGCGCUCGCUGGUCCUCCAGGUCCCUCCUUUCUGUUUCCUCUUUGCAGGUCUGCAGCCCUCGCUGUGCCCUCCAUCCACCUCCUCGAGGACUCCACUUCGCUCUGCCAGUUUGAGGCAAGUACACCUGUAGGUGCCCCCCUGUGAGUCAUGCUCUUAUGCAAUCCCCUCCUUCAGGGCAAACGGAAACCAGAGCGAGCUUCUAGGCAAUAAAAUACGGCAAAGGCGGUGAUGUGUCACUCCCGUGACUCUGUCACCUCACGGGACACUGCACUCCUUCCCGGCUGACCAGAAAGGAGUGCUGGGCAUGGUAGCACGUGUCUGUAAGUCCAGUACUCGGGAGGCUGAGGCAGGAGAAUCACAAGUUUGAGGCCAGCCUGGGCAACUUAAGACACCAUUUACAGAAAAAAGAAAGAAAGAAAGAAAAAAAAUUAAAUUAAAUAAAAAUAAAAAAGAAAUGGAGGGAGGAGGAGAAGAAAGGCACCCCAGCCAGGACCUUGACUCCUGGUAUUAACCAAAACUCUGAGAUUCUGAAUGCAUAUUUUAAGCUGCUGAAUUGUAGUGAUUGGUUAUGCAGCAAUAACUAAUGAAACUCCUAUUGUACCACUCAGUUUAGACCACAAUAUCAUAA